AACGAACGCUGGCGGCAGGCCUAACACAUGCAAGUCGAGCGAAGCCUUCGGGCUUAGCGGCGGACGGGUGAGUAACGCGUGGGAACGUGCCCUUUGGUACGGAAUAGCCCCGGGAAACUGGGAGUAAUACCGUAUGUGGUCGAGAGACGAAAGAUUUAUCGCCAAAGGAUCGGCCCGCGUUGGAUUAGGUAGUUGGUGGGGUAAUGGCCUACCAAGCCGACGAUCCAUAGCUGGUUUGAGAGGAUGAUCAGCCACACUGGGACUGAGACACGGCCCAGACUCCUACGGGAGGCAGCAGUGGGGAAGCUUAGACAAUGGGGGAAACCCUGAUCUAGCCAUGCCGCGUGAUCGAUGAAGGCCUUAGGGUUGUAAAGAUCUUUCAGUGGGGAAGAUAAUGACAGUACCCACAGAAGAAGCCCCGGCUAACUCCGUGCCAGCAGCCGCGGUAAUAC
rnacentral:rRNA from 1 species